rnacentral:rRNA from 1 species
CCUGAAUCAGCAUGUGUGUUAGUGGAAGCGUCUGGAAAGGCGCGCGAUACAGGGUGACAGCCCCGUACACAAAAGCGCAUGUGCUGUGAGCUCGAUGAGUAGGGCGGGACACGUGGUAUCCUGUCUGAAUAUGGGGGGACCAUCCUCCAAGGCUAAAUACUCCUGACUGACCGAUAGUGAACCAGUACCGUGAGGGAAAGGCGAAAAGAACCCCGGCGAGGGGAGUGAAAAAGAACCUGAAACCGUGUACGUACAAGCAGUGGGAGCACCCUUCGGGGUGUGACUGCGUACCUUUUGUAUAAUGGGUCAGCGACUUAUAUUCUGUAGCAAGGUUAACCGAAUAGGGGAGCCGGAGGGAAACCGAGUCUUAACCGGGCGUUAAGUUGCAGGGUAUAGACCCGAAACCCGGUGAUCUAGCCAUGGGCAGGUUGAAGGUUGGGUAACACUAACUGGAGGACCGAACCGACUAAUGUUGAAAAAUUAGCGGAUGACCUGUGGCUGGGGGUGAAAGGCCAAUCAAACCGGGAGAUAGCUGGUUCUCCCCGAAAGCUAUUUAGGUAGCGCCUCGUGAAUUCAUCUCCGGGGGUAGAGCACUGUUUCGGCUAGGGGGCCAUCCCGGCUUACCAACCCGAUGCAAACUGCGAAUACCGGAGAAUGUUAUCACGGGAGACACACGGCGGGUGCUAACGUCCGUCGUGAAGAGGGAAACAACCCAGACCGCCAGCUAAGGUCCCAAAGUCAUGGUUAAGUGGGAAACGAUGUGGGAAGGCCCAGACAGCCAGGAUGUUGGCUUAGAAGCAGCCAUCAUUUAAAGAAAGCGUAAUAGCUCACUGGUCGAGUCGGCCUGCGCGGAAGAUGUAACGGGGCUAAACC